rnacentral:rRNA from 1 species
UACAGAGGGGGCAAGCGUUGUUCGGAAUUACUGGGCGUAAAGGGCGCGUAGGCGGCCUGUUAAGUCGAACGUGAAAUCCCCGGGCUCAACCCGGGAACUGCGUCCGAUACUGGCAGGCUUGAAUCCGGGAGAGGGAUGCGGAAUUCCAGGUGUAGCGGUGAAAUGCGCAGAUAUCGGGAAGAACACCCGUGGCGAAGGCGGCUCUCUGGAACGCAACUGACGCUGAGACGCGAAAGCGUGGGGAGCGAACAGG